GCCUUUCUGGCCAUCUCAAAUAGUUAUAUCCAUCGUUAACCCCAUUUGAGCCUAUAUCCAUUUUUUCAGUUUAAACACCAUAAAUGUAACCGUGGGCGAAAAUACUUCCUCACCUUGUUCAGAGUCAUGAUAAUGCAUUCAAAGCUGUGUUUGAAAAGCUAAGUUUGGGGUAAAAACCCCAAAAGCGUCCAAAUCCCAAGAAAGUGCAAAAACAAGAGAAAAAGAAAAAAAUUGAUGAAUCGAGAAAAAGAAAGAAAAAUUAAAAGAGAAAAAUAUCAACUCGAAGAUUCAAAAGAAAGAAGCAUGAAAAAGGGCAGUCGAUGAAAAGGAAAUAAGAAAAAAAACCGAGGAAAUAAAAGAAACAAACACAGGAUGUAACAUCGACUCUGAACCAAAAGCCACUUAUUUUACUUUUUUAAUCCAUACCCUAACCCAAGCCAAG
rnacentral:lncRNA from 1 species